rnacentral:rRNA from 1 species
UACCAGCACCCCGAGUGGUCGGGACGAUUAUUGGGCCUAAAGCAUCCGUAGCCGGCCUUACAAGUCCUCCGUUAAAUCCAGCUGCUUAACAGAUGGGCUGCGGAGGAUACUAUAAGACUAGGAGGCAGGAGAGGCAAGCGGUACUCAGUGGGUAGGGGUAAAAAUCCGUUGAUCCAUUGAAGACCACCAGUGGCGAAGGCGGCUUGCCAGAAUGCGCUCGACGGUGAGGGAUGAAAGCUGGGGGGAGCAAACCGG